rnacentral:tRNA from 1 species
GCCCCGGUGGCGCAGCUGGAUAGCGCGGCUCCUCUGAAGGGGCAGGACAAAGGUUCAAGUCCUCUUCUGGGCACCG